GGUUUUUCAGGGAGGAAGAGGAAGGAUGUGCUGGAGCUGAGGGCUUUCACGGUAAAGGAGGAAUCACCCUGAACAGGAACUGUCGGAAUUUUACAGUGGACCACUGUACCUACCAGUUUUUCCAAUAUUAUUGGAGACUGACAGGUUGGUGAUUAAGGGGACCUGAAGCACCCAGCAUCUGAUGAACUGAGCUCCCAUCCAAAGCCCAGACAAGGCAUCGCGGAGACUCGAGGAGCAGCACAACUCACACGGGUCCAUGCAUUUAGCUGGAGAGGUGGCGAGGGCAGAAUCCCCAGAAUCCAGGGAUGCUGCAUGCAGACAUGCCUGAGGACAGAGUGUCCCAGGGAUUGCUCCGACGUCUGCAAAUCCUCCAGGCCAGAAGUAGAAGUAUACAGUCAUGGUCCAGAGCAAAAGCAAUCAAAUUCUGUACAAGCUGCCGAAAAAAGCAUCAGCCUGGGUUGUUCCAGAGAGCGGGUUGGCGUGGGAGCCCACGCAGGCAGCGCUGCUGAGAAAGCCUCGGGAAAAGUCACUCCUGGAAACAAAACACCCACUCUGGUGAUUUUCCCGAAGGGUGACAUGUCUUUGAAAUAGCACUCAUCUCCCAAAGAAACAGCCUGCCCUGGGGCCUGGCAAGGAGGACGAGCUGGCAGCUAAACCCCUGGUCUCUGUAAGGGCUGUGCACAGAGCCCGCACAGCACAGACGGGCAUGGGAAUGCUGGGGCAGGGCACCGUGGUCCUGGUCUGAACAGUCCGAUCAGGGUGCUGGCGAUGACAGACCACAGCCCCAGCACGCUCACGCCAGAAAUCAAACUAAGGAACGCCAUGCAGAGCCCAGCUCCUGCCCUCGGUGCCCAGCCACACUCUUGGCAUGGAUGUCCUCGGAGCAGGGAAACCCACGUGGAGCAUCCACAGGCACUGCUGCAGCCCAGGGGUGGUUUGUGAUCUGGGAGGUGAGCUGGAGGGUUGACCCCACUGACCUCGGCCUAUGGUGAAACCUGGGUUUUGCUUGAAUAAUGAGGGCUGCACGUGCAUUUGGAAUGGGCUUUAUGUUCACUUUAUGCAUUGGAAUGUUGUGAUCUUUUUGGUUUCCAGUUUCUAAUUACUUUGCUUGUCCAUGCCUUUCUCUAAUACCGUAGGCACUUUCCUCCAGCUAAGCUCUGGCAUUGCCUGGGCAUUUGAUGGGUCUGUGCAACCCCAGGAAAACCCCUUUUGGCCUAUUUUUCCAUCAGGCUUCAGUGGACAGGACAGGGCUGCGAGCUUACCAGGGAACCUGCUGCUGCUGCGCUGCUCAGAGCCACACAGAUCAAGCCACGCUCUCUCGCGUUGCAGCGAGAUGGGGAAAGCUUGUCUUUUCCUCCCGCUGCCCCAGAAAAAAAUAUGACGGAGGGCAUUUGGCCAAGACCUCGUCACCCCAGUAAUCCUUCUGUUAUUUUGUCUGUAUGAACAGGCGGCUUUGCUAGAUGCAACGCUCAGGAUAAAAGCCAAUUUCACAGACCCUGAUGCGCAUGGGAGCGACCCAGGCUGCAGGCAGAGGCAGACGCCCGCGCUCUCCCCUCUUCCCCACACUCCAUCCCGCGCUGCCUCCCUUGCUGUAACCCAGAGCCGAUGGCUCAGGAGCAACUUCAGUCCAACUUCUGCAUCCAGCAUUUUGCGAAGGAAACUGUCUCCUUUGAUCUGCUGAUCUUUGAUCUUCUAAUACAACUAAAGAUCCUGAAUUAAUGCUGUUGUCUUCCGUGGUUCUGCCUGUCUGACAGCGAGCCUGAGUUUCACAUAUCUUUUGUUCGGUGCGCUGUGGAGAUGCUCUGAUAAGCGGCAUUUUUGCGACUGGUUAAAUAGGAACUGUGUGCAGAGAGCGAGGUUGAUGGGAAGGUGACAGCAGUCCCUGUUGCAAGGAUUUGGCUAAUUAUAGAGUAGCAGCUCCUCUGCUGAUGUGAAUUGUCACAGCCCUGCUGGAAAGCACAAGCCCUAAAAAUUCACAUCAGCUGAAGACUCUUCACAUCAGCCAAGAAUUUGCUGCAGCUUUGUCUCUCUAAUAUAAAUAUUUAUGUGGACGGAUCUGGCUCCAUCUUGAGAUUUGAUAGUCUAUGAAAUACCUACAGCUUCAGACCUCCUCGUCGCCUCUCUGCCUCGUUAUAGCUCAAACAGAAGGUAUUAUAAACAACAGAGCUGAUUUCCUGACAUUAGGAUUUUUAUUUGAGUCUUGAUUCCAUGAGAGUCAGAUCAUAUUGCUGUUGGCAACAAUUAAGGUGCAUGUGGAUUGCCUUUGUUAUCCUUGUGGACACAGGAUGCUCAGAUUCCUUCUGAAGCACCAAGAGAUCCAGAAAAGAACUAAGGCAAUUGUAACUACACAUUUCAUUUCAAGUUGAAAACUUCCCUACAUCUUUCUUAUUUUGACUUCCUUGUCUUUAAUAGAGCACACAGAUGAAUGCAUAUGUUUUUAGGGCACUAGCUGCUUAAAGCCUGGAGAUCAUGGUGGAUAUUUAAAGGAAGAACAGAAAGAAAUGGACCACUGUUGUUUCAGACAUUUUCUGAAGCAGUGCUUGUGAGCAUGGGUGAUGUGCUGUGGCACUGGGGAGGCAGUAGAGAAGUGGCAUCACAGACCAAGUCAGCUGGAGGAGCUAUGAGCUGAAAUUCCACCCCUGUUCAUAUCUGCGGGUCUGAAAACAUCUGCUCAGCGCCAUGCUGAGGUACAGGGAUACUGGUUUUUAAAUUUCUCAGGGACUCCAGCUGCACCCCUAGGCAAGGCUGGAGCUGCCCCAGGCUGUCGGGAGGAGCUGCUCAGUGCCCAUGUCCCAGACAAGACGCAGACAUGACUCCAGCCUGGGCAACCUGGGGGCUGACUCCGUCCAUUACCCUCAUAACGCAGCUAGAACACACCAACAGCACCCAGUGUCUCAUUGAAUGCCGGAAUGCUGAAUACCAGGCUCAUGUACUGAAGGCAAACAUGGUAAAUUGAAUUCCCUCCUGUGCCAGAAGAGGAUCUGAAAGCACAUCUUCCAGGAGCCUACUGACAGGUUCGGGAUGUCCCCUCAUGCUGAAGCUGUCUGGUGGCAUAAAAAUGGGUAUCAGACCUCCUGGGGAUGUCAGGGGACCAAGGACACAAGUGGCUGGCACUGGUCUGGUGGUCCUUGUGCUCACCCAGGCUCAUUCAGACUCCUUAUUGCCCAGGCUGGCCCUGUGCGGUAGCCUGCCACGUCUGGGGUAAUGUGCAGGAGCAAACAUGGAAAGCAGGACUCGACCCCCCUUCUGCAUCCUGGGACUGAGUCUGGCUGGGGGAGCCAACUCUCUUCACAGCAGCUUGUAUGGUGCUGCGUUUUGGAUUUGUGGCCAAACCAGUGUUGACAGCACACCAAUGUUUUAGCUGUUGCGGAACAGUCCUUGCACAGCAUCAAGGCUUCUUGUUUUCCCCACUCUGCUUCCCCCCCCCAGUCUGGCAGUGGGCAGGAGACUGGGAGGGGACACAGCCAGGACAGCAGUCCUGAACUGGACAAAGGGAUAUCCUGUACUCUAUAAUGUCACAUCAGCAAUAAAACUGUGGAGAGGAAGAAGAAGGAGAGGUUUGGGGCUGUUGCUCAGAGACUGGCUGGCCACCAGUCUGCUUGUGGGAGGUGGUGAGUGAUUUCCUUUGCAUCACCCGUGGGGUUUUUUCCCUCAUUCCUUCACCUGUUAAACUGCUUUUAUCUCAACCCACAAGUUUUCUUGCUUUUGUUCUUCCUUUUCUUUCCUCUCUUGAGGAAGGAGGAAUGAGCGAGCGGCUGUGUGGGUGCUUGGCUGCUGGCUGGGUCAACCCAGCUCGGUGCUUUCAGCACCUGGCUGCUAAGUGACUUCCAAGUAAUUUCAUGGAGAUGGGUGAAGCAUCAUCAGGAGGGCCAGGGUAAGAGGGAUUUAAUCUCAGAAAUGCCAACUGGACUGGAUUGCCCAACAAAUGUGGGAAGACCCUCCCUGGGCAGGUGCAAUGUCUAAGCACCGAGACAGGGAGCUGCAUGGACCUGCUGCUCUACAUGCGGACAGAGUUUGCAGGUCAGGAAUAGAGGUAUCUGUAGUACCUCCUGGGAUAGGUUUGAGGGGAGUAAUUUUUGCAGUCGUGGGUAUAAGUACCUCAACUCCACUUUGGAAGUGCACCUUAGGAGUGAUCUAUUCUAGAUAUAUUCCCAGAGCUGGGCUGAUAGGUCUGGAAUUGCUGCAGUCAUCUUGUUUAUGUGCUGACAUUGCAGAUUUGCACCUGAAAAGCCUAUCAGGUAACACCAUUCAAACCUCAUACAGCAAGUCUAAGAACAAACAAGCAAAGAAAAAGCCCAACCCAGAAGAUAGAUGUUUACUAUCAAAGUACCAGCUACUCUCUGAAUCACAGCUCCUGAAUCACCUUGUCUGAUUAGAAGUUGGAGGGACUGUAACAGUAAGUCACAGCAAUAUACCAGUGUGCACAUCUUUCUAUUCUUUAUUUGUUCCUCUAUUAGUUUUAGAAAUCAUAGAUGUGGGUAAUAGAUCACAAUUUCAACAGAUGACUGAGGAAUUCUGAAAAGGUGACAUAAAUGGAAAGAGAGGGAAGGGCAGACAGACUGCAUGCACUGUUGGAAGGGUUAGGUAGGAAUGUACAGAGCAAGAACUGAUAAAAACCCAUUUAAAUAUCUAGAAUAAAUGUCAGCUUAUCCCUAAGAAGUACUUGCUUUCAACCAAAAAUGCAAAAAUUUUUGUGUGUUCACAGUGCCAUCAAAUUUACAUCGGAGCAUGGUUAGAAAUUUCUAAUUUGUUGUAUUUUGAAAACUCAAACUAUCAUGCAAGGGGGAGGGGGGCACAUGGGCCAUGUUUUCCCCCAGCCCAGUUUUAAAGGAAGGAGUCCCGCUUGAUUCUGUGAAAGGAAGGUCCUUGAGCAUCCGCGCUGACAAGUCCUCUCUGGAGGUGCCUGCCCACGGCCCUGGCUGAGGUGCCUGAGGACUGAUGCUUAGGUCUUGCCUUGCCCUCACCUUAGCAGCUCUCUGAGGCUUGCCUGGAGCACUGACCAUUAUGGGUCCCAUCCUGAGACUGUGGGCUCUCGUGUGCACUGGAGAGGGGUCCGUGAACACCCAACAGGCUGCAGGGUUCUGCAUUUCACCCAAAGGGCCAACGCCUCACCUGUAGGCAACCAAAUUCUAAAUAAGAGUUGGCCCUAAGGAGAAUGCAUUUUGUCUGUCGCGUGUCAUUCAUACCCUUGCACACAGGUUCACAUUUCAAAGGGAACUGAUGAACCAGCUGGUGUGGAGAAGGAGCGUAAUUUUAAGCUGGAAUCCAUGCAGUAAUGAGAAAUAUUCUCAAGCACAGGAAAGGACACCUCCAAAGAACAGAGGAAUUAAAAGAAAGCAAACCAAGGUCUGUAGAAAUAUGAUGUGUUACAUUCAAAGGACCAAGGAUAUGUAUCUAAAUUCCCUACAGAAUGAAAGCUUUGGAAAUGACAAUGGCAUGCAUUAAAUAUAAGUCAACACAAAGUAUUGACAGAA